rnacentral:rRNA from 1 species
GUAGGGAAUAUUGCACAAUGGAGGAAACUCUGAUGCAGCGACGCCGCGUGAGUGAUGAAGGCCUUCGGGUCGUAAAGCUCUGUCGCAGGGGAAUAACACAAUGAAGGUACCCUGUAAGAAAGGAUCGGCUAACUUCGUGCCAGCAGCCGCGGUAAGACGAGGGAUCCUAGCGUUGUUCGGAAUCAUUGGGCGUAAAGCGGAUGUAGGUGGCUAUGUAAGUCAGAUGUGAAAGCCUGGGGCUCAACCCAAGAAGUGCAUUUGAUACUGCGUAGCUUGAGUGUCGGAGAGGUUACUAGAAUUGUUGGUGUAGUGGUGAAAUACGUAGAUAUCAACAGGAAUACCGGAGGCGAAGGCGGGUAACUGGCCGAACACUGACACUGAGAUCCGAAAGCGUGGGGAUCAAACAGGAUUAGAUACCCGGGUAGUCC